rnacentral:rRNA from 1 species
CCUACGGGAGGCAGCAGUGAGGAAUAUUGGUCAAUGGGCGUAAGCCUGAACCAGCCAAGUCGCGUGAGGGAUGAAGGUUCUAUGGAUCGUAAACCUCUUUUAUAAGGGAAUAAAGUGCGGGACGUGUCCCGUUCUGUAUGUACCUUAUGAAUAAGGAUCGGCUUACUCCGUGCCAGCAGCCGCGGUAAUACGGAGGAACGGAGCGUUAUCCGGGAUUAUUGGGUUUAAAGGGUGCGUUGGCCGGCUUUUAAAUCAGCGGUGAAAGUCUGUGGCCCAAACAUAGAAUGGCCGUUGAAACUGGGAGGCUUGAGUGUGUUUGAGGCAGGCGGAAUGCGUGGUGUAGCGGUGAAAUGCAUAGAUAUCACGCAGAACCCCGAUUGCGAAGGCAGCCUGCCGGGCCAUGACUGACGCUGAUGCACGAAAGCGUGGGGAUCAAACAGGAUUAGAUACCCCUGUAGUC